GCCCGUUGGUCAAGCGGUUAAGACACCGCCCUUUCACGGCGGUAACACGGGUUCGAAUCCCGUACGGGUCACCAU
rnacentral:tRNA from 1 species